CCCAAACAGACUCCACACGCUCCGUAGGUCAGAACCAGACCCAAACAGACUCCACACGCUCCGUAGGUCAGAACCAGAACCAAACAGACUCUACACGCUCCGUAGACUAGAACCAGACCCAAACAGACUCCACACGCUCCGUAGGUCAGAACCAGACCCAAACAGACUCCACACGCUCCGUAGGUCAGAACCAGACCCAAACAGACUCUACACGCUCCGUAGGUCAGAACCAGACCCAAACAGGCUCCACACGCUCCGUAAACUAGAACCAGACCCAAACAGACUCCACACGCUCCGUAGACUAGAACAAGACCCAAACAGACUCUACACGCUCCGUAGGUCAGAACCAGACCCAAACAGACUCCACACGCUCCGUAGAACCAGACCCAAACAGACUCUACACGCUCCGUAGGUCAGAACCAGACCCAAACAGACUCCACACGCUCCGUAGAACCAGACCCAAACAGACUCUACACGCUCUGUAGGUCAGAACCAGACCC